rnacentral:rRNA from 1 species
AACGAACGCUGGCGGCAUGCCUAACACAUGCAAGUCGAACGAGACCUUCGGGUCUAGUGGCUCACGGGUGCGUAAGGAGUGGGAACCUGCCCUUAGGUUCGGAAGAACUUCCCGAAAGGGGUGCUAAUAUCGUAUAAUGUCUUCGGACCAAAGAGUUAUCGCCUUUGGAUGGGCCUGCGUUGGAUUAGCUAGUUGGUAGGGUAAAAGCCUACCAAGGCGACGAUCCAUAGCUGGUCUGAGAGGAUGAUCAGCCACACUGGGACUGAGACACGGCCCAGACUCCUACGGGAGGCAGCAGUGGGAAAUAUUGGACAAGGGACGAAAGCCUGAUCAAGCAGGGCCGCGUGAGUGUUGAAGGCCUUAGGGUUGUAAAGCUCCUUUAACCGGGAUGAUAAUGACAGUACCGGGAGAAUAAGCUCCGGCUAACUCCGUG